rnacentral:rRNA from 1 species
UACGUAGGGUCCGAGCGUUGUCCGGAAUUAUUGGGCGUAAAGAGCUCGUAGGCGGUCCGUUAAGUCGGAAGUGAAAUCUCAAGGCUCAACCUUGAAAUCGCUUUCGAUGCUGGCGGACUUGAGGCAGGUAGGGGAAGGUGGAAUUCCUGGUGUAGCGGUGAAAUGCGCAGAUAUCAGGAGGAACACCGAUGGCGAAGGCAGCUCGCUGGGACGGUACUGACGCUGAGGCGCGAAAGCGUGGGGAGCGAACAGG